GUGGGGAAUCUUGCGCAAUGGGCGAAAGCCUGACGCAGCCAUGCCGCGUGGAUGAUGAAGGUCUUAGGAUUGUAAAAUCCUUUCACCGGGGACGAUAAUGACGGUACCCGGAGAAGAAGCUCCGGCUAACUUCGUGCCAGCAGCCGCGGUAAUACGAAGGGGGCUAGCGUUGCUCGGAAUUACUGGGCGUAAAGGGCGCGUAGGCGGACAGCUUAGUCAGAGGUGAAAGCCCAGGGCUCAACCUUGGAAUUGCCUUUGAUACUGGCUGUCUUGAGUUUGGGAGAGGUGAGUGGAACUCCGAGUGUAGAGGUGAAAUUCGUAGAUAUUCGGAAGAACACCAGUGGCGAAGGCGACUCACUGGCCCAAUACAGACGCUGAGGCGCGAAAGCGUGGGGAGCAAACAGGAUUAGAAACCCGGGUAGUCC
rnacentral:rRNA from 1 species